GGCUGGCCUUAUAUUGACAGUGCAAGCAGAGAGCAUAUGUGGGAUCAUCUGCCAGCUCAAAAUGAGCCCAGACUACACUACCCACUCGCUUCUGGGGUGCAGUUGCAUGUGUGGAUGCUGCCGUACUUUCCCCCUCCUCAGCAGGCAGAAGCACAGUAAGAGGAGGAGUGGACUCAGCUGAGCUGCUUGCCUUCACAACUUCUACCUCCACCUCCUCUGAAGUGGCUUCUGGGGAAGAAGACCUGGCUCUAGGGGAAGCUUGAGGGGUGUGGAGCACAAACUCAGAUGAUUCCCUCUGCCUCCCCAAA